GCAUAUCAAUAAGCGGAGGAAAAGAAACCAACAGGGAUUGCCCUAGUAACGGCGAGUGAAGCGGCAACAGCUCAAAUUUGAAAUCUGGCUCUUUCAGAGUCCGAGUUGUAAUUUGCAGAGGGCGCUUUGGCGUUGGCAGCGGUCCAAGUUCUUUGGAACAGGACGUCACAGAGGGUGAGAAUCCCGUACGUGGUCGCUAGACUUCGCCGUGUAAAGCCCCUUCGACGAGUCGAGUUGUUUGGGAAUGCAGCUCUAAAUGGGAGGUAAAUUUCUUCUAAAGCUAAAUACUGGCCAGAGACCGAUAGCGCACAAGUAGAGUGAUCGAAAGAUGAAAAGCACUUUGGAAAGAGAGUCAAAUAGCACGUGAAAUUGUUGAAAGGGAAGCGCUUGCAGCCAGACUUGCCUGUAGUUGCUUAUCCAGACUUUUGUCUGGUGCACUCUUCUGCGGGCAGGCCAGCAUCAGUUUGGGCGGUUGGAUAAAGGUCUCUAUCACGUACCUCUCUUCGGGGAGGCCUUAUAGGGGAGACGCCAUGCAACCAGCCCAGACUGAGGUCCGCGCAUCUGCUAGGAUGCUGACGUAAUGGCUUUAAACGAC
rnacentral:rRNA from 1 species